UCCGCCAACGAGGAGGCCGGGACCGUCGGAUCCGGUGACCCCGGCCUCCUCGUCGGCGGA
rnacentral:pre_miRNA from 2 species